CCACGAAAGGCCAGGUGAAAUACAGCGCCAAUGCGCUGCCAGAUAAGGAUCUUACAGUCGUCUAUACCACAAACAAUCCUCCUUUAAACGGCACCCUUUGACCCGGGGAUCUCCGAAUGGGGCAACCCUCCCGAUUGAACAUCGGGAACGGCCCGCUGAAUCCAUAGGCGGGUACGAGCUAACCCAGGGAAGUGAACCAUCUCAGUACCUGGAGGAAAAUAAAGCAAGCGCGAUUCCGUCAGUAGCGGCGAGCGAACGCGGAACAGCCCAAACCGGGCGCUCCUCAGAGCAGUGACGAGUGAGAAGUGACGAGUGACGAGUCAGGAAGAAAAGCGGCCUGUCACUGGUCACUCGUCACCUGUCACUGUUCUUGGGAGCGUCCGGGGUUGUAGGGCGUGCGCCGGUUUAGAGCCAGAGAGUUACCAAACCAGCGGCUAGCCGAGCGAUUUGGAAAAAUCGGCCAAAGAGUGUGAUAGCCACGUAGGCAAAAGCUGACUGGACUCUCGCGCGCGUUCCUGAGUACCGCGGGGCACGAGAAACCCUGCGGGAAUCCACGGGGACCAUCCCGUAAGGCUAAAUACGUGCUGGCGACCGAUAGUGAACUAGUACCGUGAGGGAAAGGUGAAAAGCACCCCUGCGAGGGGAGUUAAAAGUACCUGAAACCGUAUGCCUACAAGCAGUCGGAGGGCUACGCACUGGUGGCAACACCAGAGCAGGCCUGACGGCGUGCCUAUUGCAUAAUGAGCCGGCUAGUUAUUGUCCGUUGCGAGGUUAAGCGAUGAUCUGUCGCAAGACAGGGAGCGAGCCGUAGCGAAAGCGAGUCUGAAUAGGGCGAUUAGUGGCGGGCAAUAGACGCGAAGCGGGAUGAUCUACCCUUGGUCAGGGUGAAAGCCGCGUAACAGCGGCCGGAGGCCCGAACCGGUGUUGGUUGAAAACAGCUCGGAUGAACUGAGGGUAGGAGUGAAAGGCCAAUCAAAUUCCGUGAUAGCUCGUUCUCCCCGAAAUAGCUUUAGGGCUAGCCUCGGAUGGUCGCUCGCGGUGGUAGAGAACUAGAUGGACUAGGGUCCGUUAACGGAUACCGAAUCCAACUAAACUCCGAAUGCCGCGAAGCGUAGUCCGGGAGUCAGACAGUGGGGGCUAAGCUUCAUUGUCGAGAGGGAAAUAGCCCAGACCGUCAGCUAAGGUCCCGAAGCGAUGGCUAAGUGGGAAAGGAAGUGAAGUCGCUCAGACAGCCAGGAGGUUGGCUUAGAAGCAGCCAUCCUUUAAAGAAAGCGUAACAGCUCACUGGUCGAGCGUCUUUGCGCCGAUAAUUCAACGGGGCUCAAGCCAUCUACCGAAGCUGCGGAUUUCGUGGCGCGUCACCCGGUCUAUUGGGGAUUAGCGUGAUUGACUGAUCGUGUCUUUUGACUUUUGAUAUCAUUAAGAUUAUCAAUGGUUGGGAGACGCGGCGGGUCAACGACGUCUUUCUCAAUGGCUCGCGUGAUGCGUCACGGAGUGGUAGGGGAGCGUAGCGUACAGUUUGAAGCGGGACCGCGAGGGUCCGUGGACGGUACGCCAGUGACUCUGCCGGCAUAAGUAGCGAUAACGGAGGUGAGAACCCUCCGCGCCGAAAGUCUAAGGUUUCCUGAGAAAGGUUAAUCCGCUCAGGGUCAGUCGGUCCCUAAGGCGAGGCCGAAAGGCGUAGCUGAUGGA
rnacentral:rRNA from 1 species